GACGAACGCUGGCGGCGUGCUUAACACAUGCAAGUCGAGCGGCGCGGCGAACGGGUGAGUAACGCGUGAGUAACUGCCCCCCUCUCUGUGAUAACAGUUGGAAACGGCUGCUAAUACCGGAUAGAGGGGGGGGACUCGGGUCCUAUCAGCUUGGUGGUGGGGUAGUGGCCUACCAAGGCGACGACGGGUUGCCGGCCUGAGAGGGCGACCGGCCUCAUUGGGCUGAGGUACGGCCCAAACUGCUACGGGGGGCAGCGGUGGGGAAUAGUGCGCAAUAGGGGAAACGCUGAUGCAGCGACGCCGCGUGCGGGAUGUCGGCCUUCGGGGUGGAAACCGCUUUCAGCCAUGACGCGGUAGUGGCAGAAGAAGCACCGGCUAACUACGUGCCAGCAGCCGCGGUAAUUC
rnacentral:rRNA from 1 species